GACGAACGCUGGCGGCGUGCUUAACACAUGCAAGUCGAACGAAGUGGCGCACGGGUGAGUAACGCGUAAUCAACCUGCCCUUCAGAGGGGGACAACAGUUGGAAACGACUGCUAAUACCGCAUACUGAAGGAGGGGAUUGCGUCUGAUUAGCUAGUUGGAGGGGUAACGGCCCACCAAGGCGAUGAUCAGUAGCCGGUCUGGGAGGAUGAACGGCCACAUUGGGACUGAGACACGGCCCAGACUCCUACAGGAGGCAGCGGUGGUGAAUCUUCCGCAAUGGGCGAAAGUCUGACGGAGCAACGCCGCGUGAGAGAUGGCGGCCUACGGGUUGUAAAGCUCUGUUAAUCGGGACGCGGUACCGGAAUAGAAAGCCACGGCUAACUACGUGCCAGCAGCCGCGGUAAUUC
rnacentral:rRNA from 1 species